GACGAACGCUGGCGGCGUGCUUAACACAUGCAAGUCGAACGGAAAGGCCCUGCUUUUGUGGGGUGCUCGAGUGGCGAACGGGUGAGUAACACGUGAGUAACCUGCCCUUGACUUUGGGAUAACUUCAGGAAACUGGGGCUAAUACCGGAUAGGAGCUCCUGCUGCAUGGUGGGGGUUGGAAAGUUUCGGCGGUUGGGGACGGACUCGCGGCUUAUCAGCUUGUUGGUGGGGUAGUGGCUUACCAAGGCUUUGACGGGUAGCCGGCCUGAGAGGGUGACCGGCCACAUUGGGACUGAGAUACGGCCCAGACUCCUACGGGAGGCAGCAGUGGAGAAUAUUGCACAAUGGGCGGAAGCCUGAUGCAGCAACGCCGCGUGCGGGAUGACGGCCUUCGGGUUGUAAACCGCUUUCGCCUGUGACGAAGCGUGAGUGACGGUAAUGGGUAAAGAAGCACCGGCUAACUACGUG
rnacentral:rRNA from 1 species